CCCUUACCUCGAGGUAGUCGCUUAAAUGUUCUCUGUUAGCAAUGGUGGCGUCUCUGGUGCUCUCUAGAGCUCCUCCUCUGAUUGCUCUGUUAGGGUUCUUGUGCGUCAGAAAAGAAGAAAGGAACAGAAUGUGUUUUCCAAAAAGCUGCUCUAGGUUAACAUUUGGCUUAUAUAGUGGGAAUUUAUGACCUAAUAAUUUUU
rnacentral:lncRNA from 1 species